UUUAUCGGUGUUAAGUAGAGCGUAAAAUCAAAGACUAUCGAAUGAAAUAUAAUCUCGUUGCUCCGAGACUCCAACGCGAGCUACCUGAGACCCGGUGAAUUUUCUACCGGAUAUGGAUGUGCUUUAAGGAAUUCCAGUGUUAAUUGUACUUUUUGGGGACUUUGAGUGAUUCACCACCCUUUGAACAAAUGUAUUUUGAGAUCCUCAAAGGAAUCCUAGAUUUGUCAAGAGAUUCAUUUUGAGGAAAUAGCUGGUGUGCAGUCCACAUUCCUAAAUGAAUUCAUCAGUUUACAUUAAGGAUCUACCUUCAAAUCCUGUAAUCUGGGAUGCUCUAAAGUGCAUGUCACAGACUAAAGUUAUAAAAAUAACUUCCAAGAAUUUUUAAGAAAUUGUUAUAACUUUGAAAUGUAUGUAUAUACAUGUAUACUGAUAUUGAAUUAAAUUUUAUAAAAUUUC